CCUACGGGUGGCAGCAGUGGGGAAUAUUGGGCAAUGGGCGCAAGCCUGACCCAGCAACGCAGCGUGAAGGAAGAAGGCUCUCGGGUUGUAAACUUCUUUUCUCAGGGACGUAGCAAGUGACGGUACCUGAGGAAUAAGCCACGGCUAACUACGUGCCAGCAGCCGCGGUAAUACGUCGGUGGCAAGCGUUAUCCGGAUUUACUGGGUGUAAAGGGCGUGUAGGCGGGACUGCAAGUCAGAUGUGGAAACCACGGGCUCAACCUGUGGCCUGGAUUUGAAACUGUAGUUUUUGAGUACUGGGGAGGCAGACGGAAUUCCGAGGGUAGCGGUGAAAUGGGUAGAUAUUAGGAGGAACACCAGUGGCGAAGGCGGUCUGCUGGACAGCAACUGACGCUGAGGCGCGAAAGCGUGGGGAGCAAACAGGAUUAGAUACCCUUGUAAGUC
rnacentral:rRNA from 1 species